UGGCACGCGAGACAGACCUCCCCGCUUGGCGGCAGUCUGAUGGUGAAAUCAGUCCGUGCCAACCCCUGUCGUUGGCCUUGCACCCCGUGCAUUCAGCAUCAGGUCGAGCACAACACAACUGCACGCACGCACGCACGGUCAAUCUUAAUCUGGACGUGAUAAAUCUAUUCGGGAUGCAUCGCUAAUUCACGCGCAACGGCUUCUGUACAGGGAGCUCGUGGCGCCGCGACUACUAGUCGUCACCCCCCUUGCGGAUCGUCGAGAAUUUCACUAUCGAUUUGCCCCUCGACAGAUUUCUACGUUUAUUAGGAGAAUCAAAAGUGGAUACAGUUUAUGUUGUAUUUCGAACAUAAUUUGUACAGUUUUACUUAGAUUACUUUGGAAAAUAUAAUUUUGU